rnacentral:rRNA from 1 species
UACGGAGGGUGCGAGCGUUGUCCGGAAUCACUGGGCGUAAAGGGCGCGUAGGCGGUCCGGUAAGCGUGUGGUGAAAGCCCGGGGCUCAACCCCGGGUCUGCCGUGCGAACUGCCGGACUCGAGCACUGUAGAGGCAGGUGGAAUUCCGAGUGUAGCGGUGGAAUGCGUAGAGAUUCGGAGGAACACCGGUGGCGAAGGCGGCCUGCUGGGCAGUGUCUGACGCUGAGGCGCGACAGCGUGGGGAGCAAACAGG